AGUAUAAAAAAUUCUUCAGCAACUCUUGUUUAUGCAUCUUUAGAAAGCAUUUGAAAAACAUAGAUAUAAAAAAAUUGUAUAUAAAUAUUAUUUUUUUAAUAACGUUACUACGGUGUGCAAGGAGAUCUAUCUCGAUACGAAUAAUAACAAACAAUUGUCUCGUCAAAUAGAUGUUGCUCGUGCGAAUCGUUUGAUCAAAUUGCUCAAGGAGUUAAAGCUCAUGAUCAGAGCCCAGCUUUGACUCUGCUGAUAGUAAUAUUGCACAAGAAUAAAGAAUUAAACAGCGAAUUGCUACAGUUAGCGAAUCAACCUGACAAGUUGAUAAAGGAAUUAUUAUUGAACAUCGUCGAGAAGGGUCACUUUAUGAAUAAAGAAACGAACGAAGUGUCAGAUGUGUCAAGUACUGCGCUCUCCAAAUUGCUUUACAUAAAAUUGAACACGCCAUCAAAGAGUUAAUUCACUUGAACGUGUUCAUUUACAAGGAUUUAAAGCGUAAAAAUAUACUACGAGAGAUGCAAGGUAAAAGAAAGAAACAGAAAAUUGCGUUUUCGACUCCAGAUAUUAAAGUUAAAUUGACGAACGCAUCAAUCUCGAGAAGCUCGAAUGCGCGAUGCGAAUUUCUCGAGCUAAGGAAACCUCGAUGCUCAGGAUAAUGGUGAAGAAGCCUUAGAGAGUGCUAUGAACUACGCCAAGGCGAAGUUUGUGAAUGGCGCACUCGAAUAUGAAAUGGUUACUGGGGAAGGCUUGCUCGUAAAAUUUGUGUAUGUAUUUGAAUAUUAAAAAUUGCAAGAACUUGAACUUACUCGAUUAUUAAAUAUUGCAAUUAACGAAUGCGCGAUUAUUUACAGUUCGCUGGUAUUGGAUAUAUGCCAGUAUCUCGGAAAACGUACAGGCUGCAGGUUCACUCGCACUCAACAAAAUGAUGAUGAUGAGCUCUAAAUUUUGCGAAUAAUCUUUGCAACUUUAGAUCACCACAUUGGAGCGAUCGCCGCAUCCUGGGAUCCGAUCAAAUAUAUACUGAUCGGAUUAAAUAAUCUCGCUACUAUAAUGAGAUGGAACUAUGGUCGAAAUACAUCUACGGCAAGU